rnacentral:tRNA from 1 species
UCCCUGGAGGACUAGUGGUUAGGCCACAGCGCUCUCACCUCUGCGGCCCAGGUUUAAUUCCAGCCAGGGAA